CAACCUGUCAAUCAAAAACAACGAUUUCAUCAAGUUUGUCGCAGCACGAAGCAAUUAAGAAAGCCAAAACGGAAGUUUCUGAAACGUUUUUCGUGAGAAGGCCCACUUCCCUUCCCUCCCCAGUAUCUAUAGUUCGGAUGUUGUGUCUAGAGAUGGGACACGUUUGUGAGAAUAGCUUUUUCUUUAAACAAAAUGUUUAAGAAAUCAUACAUCACGUAAGGAGCAGCAGAUUUCUUAUAUAAAGCACAGAAACUGCUCAAUAAAUCACCAGUCUUCUACAGGACACAAAGUAAACAUGAACAAGUCAGCUCUUCUUCUUUUGCUCGUCGUCGGACUCCUCGUUAUUACUGACACCGCUGUUGGUUAUAAACGUCGCCGCGACUGGGGAUGGAACGAAAAGCCAGCAAGUGCUGCAGACGCCGAUGCGAGGGACAGAUAUUCCUAUUAUGAAGUUAUGCAGGACGGUCAUCAUCCCUAUUAUGAAGUUAUGCAAAGACUCAACGAAGCAGAACAAUAAUUUGUUCCCCAUUUAAUAUAUCAAUAAUGAACAGUUGAUAUAAAUAAAUUCAACGGCAUUUA